GGGGAAUCUUAGACAAUGGGGGCAACCCUGAUCUAGCCAUGCCGCGUGAUCGAUGAAGGCCUUAGGGUUGUAAGGAUCUUUCAGCUGGGAAGAUAAUGACGGUACCAGCAGAAGAAGCCCCGGCUAACUCCGUGCCAGCAGCCGCGGUAAUACGGAGGGGGCUAGCGUUGUUCGGAAUUACUGGGCGUAAAGCGCACGUAGGCGGAUAUUUAAGUCGGGGGUGAAAUCCCGGGGCUCAACCCCGGAACUGCCUUCGAUACUGGGUAUCUUGAGGUCGAGAGAGGUGAGUGGAAUUCCGAGUGUAGAGGUGAAAUUCGUAGAUAUUCGGAGGAACACCAGUGGCGAAGGCGGCUCACUGGCUCGAUACUGACGCUGAGGUGCGAAAGCGUGGGGAGCAAAC
rnacentral:rRNA from 1 species